UCCCCCUCCAAAUCAAAUCAUGUUAAAUAUAAUCACAAGUCUCUUGUGCAAAUCCAAUUUGAGAUCCUAGAGUGUCAAAUAUGACCCUCAGAUUCUUCUGCUGGUAAUUACCAAUGAUUGAAGUUUCAUACUCAGAUUUCAGGGAGGCCAGAGCCAAGCAAACCUGAGAAGAAUCACUGCUGACAAAGUAGAGCACUCCACUGGAAUCAACCUCCACCUCCACAUUGCCUUCAAACACAAACUUCAGGCUAGGAAUCUGCACUUCUCUGAACCCUGUCAAGUUGAAGCAAGUGUCAAGAAUCGAGAACCCCGGCGCUUGCGGAUACUCCGCGAACUGGCUCAAGAACUCUGCCUUGACCGCAUUGUACACCGAAGGCACGAGGCUCGUGAUGAUCGUUCCCGAGUCGACGAUAACCUUGCCAGCUGAAGAUUCUACCUCCUGGCCGCCAAUGGUGAUCCCGGUCAGGUUAACAAAGUAGAAGGGCCCUUGCACCGGGUCGGAAACCAUGGUUGUGUACACAAUUGGGGUUGAAUUCCGGUACACCGAGGUGUCGUCGCCGAGGACGAGAGACCCUGAUGAUUCUGACUCCUUGAGAGGUAGGCAGUAUGAGAAGACACCACCGAAUUGAUCCAUGGUUUGUGAUAUCAGCGAGAGCUGGCUCCGGCCUAGACCCAUCAGACCGGAGGUGCCGCCGAAUGGCCCCUGGUUGCUGGUGCCGCAGCCGAACACGAAGCCGUCGAUGACCUCGCCGGCGAGGCUCAGCUUGUCGUGCGCCAGGACGCCCUGGGAGUAGGAGCCGUCACGGUAGCUGAGGGUGUAGCUGCAGGAAGGCUGCUCGCCGCCGCCGCACGCCCCGGCCGCCGAGCCGGUGGCCACCUGCAGCGCGUCGCAGGAGGAGGAGUUGCACGGCAGCACGGCGUAGGACGGCGACGACGCCGGGUCGAACAGCGGGCCCUGCUGGUCGUGGCACGACGCGCACGGCGCGCACUGCACCCAGGUGAGCUCGCUCGCCGUGUCCACGAUCACCGUCGCCUCGCCGCCGCCAAGCCCCACGGUGGCCACGUAGUUCAGCGUCCGUAGCCUCGCCCCGGACGUGACGGGCACCCGCCCGGUCGCCGCCGCCGCCGCCGCCUCGUCCUCCGCCCAAGACCCGCCGCCUGCGCGACGCUGCAGCGACGAGACGCGCGCGGCGUCGGAGGAGAAGAGGCCGCCGAGCUCCUCCUCCCUGCUCCUCCCGCCGCUCUUCCCCGAGCCGCCGCCGCCGCCGCCGCCAUGGUGCCUGAGCUCCAGUAUGGUGGCGCCACUCUCUGCUCCUGAAAAACCUCAAAGCA
rnacentral:sRNA from 1 species